rnacentral:ncRNA from 2 species
UAAAAAUUUUAUUUUAGUUUGGAAAUUAUAUAUAAAUUAUAAUUACAUGUAAAUAUUUAUGAUAUUUUAUAUUAAUUUUAAAUAAAUUAUUAAUUUAUAAACAGUAAUGAAUUUUAAUUUUUUUUUAAUGAAAGAUUUAGGUAAAUUUAAAAAUACUAACUAAUUUUGUGCCAGCAGUUGCGGUUAGACAAAAAGUAUUUUAUAAUUUUUUUAAAAAUUAAUUAAUAUUUAUUUUUAUUUAUUUUAUUUAAUAUUAAGUGAAAUUUUAUUAAAUAAUUAAUUUUAUUAUUUGAAUAUGAGGUUAAUAAAUUUAAUUUAUAAACUAGGAUUAGAUACCCUAUUAUUUUAAAAGUAAAAUAAAAUUUUAGAUUAGUAUAAGUUAUAUUCUGGAAAUUUAAAAGAUUUGGCGGUAUUUUAGUCUUAUUAGAGGAACCUGUCUUGUAAUUGAUAGUCCACGAUUAAAUUUACUUUAUUUUGUUUGUAUAUCGUCGUUGGCGAAUAUUUUUAAAAAAUUAAUAUUCUUAAUAUUUAAUUAAAUAAUAAGUUAGAUCAAGGUGCAGCUUAAUAAAGGAUUGAUGGGUUACAUUUAAUUUAUUAUAGGAUAAUAAAUUUUAAAAUUUUUUUGAAUUUGGAUUUAAAUGUAAUUUUAAUUAUAUAAUUAAAAUGAUCUUAGCUCUAAAAUAUGUACAUAUCGCCCGUCGCUUUCAUUUUCAAUUGAAAUAAGUCGUAACAUAGUAGAUUUACUGGAAAGUGAAUCUAGAAAGAU